UACGUAGGGUGCGAGCGUUGCCCGGAUUUAUUGGGCGUAAAGGGCGCGUAGGCGGCCCGCUAAGUCGAACGUGAAAUCCCUGGGCUCAACCCAGGAACUGCGUCCGAUACUGGCAGGCUUGAAUCCGGGAGAGGGAUGUGGAAUUCCAGGUGUAGCGGUGAAAUGCGUAGAUAUCUGGAGGAACACCGGUGGCGAAGGCGGCAUCCUGGACCGGUAUUGACGCUGAGGCGCGAAGGCGUGGGGAGCGAACGGG
rnacentral:rRNA from 1 species